rnacentral:misc_RNA from 1 species
AAGACUAUAGACCUGCGGAGUACCUGCGGAGGGAUCAUUAGUGAACGCCCUCACGGGCUUAUAACUAUUCCAAACCUCUGUGAACCGUGCCCUUCGGGGCUAUUUUACAAACAUGGUGUAAUGAACGUCAUAUAUCAUAACAAAACAAAACUUUUAACAAUGGAUCUCU